CUGCUCAGCAUAAGCAGUCUGUAGAUAUGUACACAUGCAGUUGCCUCUCAGUAAAAAUAGAUCAGAUUUUGAGACCUCUACUGAUGUUGCAUGAAAUAAAUUUCCUUUGACUGGCCCAACCACCGGGACACUGACAGAUUUGCUUCAUAAUAUCUGAGGAUAGUCCAUUUUGGAUGAUGCAAGGAUCUCAAAUGGAACCAUAUUGAAAUAAAAGUGAAUAUAGAACCAAAUCACACUUUCAUUUGAAGAAAAGCACGUAAUGCACAAAUUACCCCAAGUAGACACAUUUAUUUCUUUACGUAUUUGAGUGGAAUAUUUUU